ACAAAGAACAUCUGGGGGGAGAGUGCAAAAUAAUUUCACUUUACUCUUAACUUUCUGGUAAUAAAAUUGACUUUGCACCUUGGUAUUCGUUGUUGCAAAUUAGAGUGCAUUAUUUGUUUAUUGCAUUAUGCGCUUCCGUAUGCAACUAUGUCUGCACUGUUAUAUUUUUUAUAUUAUCCUAAAUUUGUACAGCCCUUUACUGUUAGUUAGACUUGUACACAACUAUUCAAGACUUAUGAUCCCUAUAUGUUGAAUGUAUGCACCUUCCUGCUAAAGUAAAUUCUUUGUCUGUGCAAACUUUAAUGGCGAUUUAACCCCUUUCUGACUCUCAUGUGUGUAAUUUAUCAAUAACGCAAGUAGAUGGCUGUGUUGGAUCAAUAUGUGCGCACACACUCUAAGAAGUCCUUGCUUGAGAGGUGGGGAAAGAGGGCUCUGAGAGAGUACUGCAUGUUUCCCUGUACAGCAGCGCCGCAGAGUCAGAUCAACCAGAGCUUCGGACGGAGGUGAAGAUACCCGCACAUCCUCUCGCAUACAUAACAUCUUGGAGACUGGACUAAAACUGCAAUCUGACAGCAUUUUAUUUACAGAGUAGGCAAAGUAGCAUCUCCUCAGAACAUUGGGUGAGAUUUUUUUUUAAUCUUUAGGGAGCACCUUAACAGGGCAUUUAGUCUGUUUUGUUGUGCAGUGUGUGUACAUAACUGCAUUAUUGUUUAAGGCAUUGUCUUUGAACACUUGAACUGUCUUAAAAGCUUCUCAGGAGAUACAUUCAACAAGGUGGCUUCUGACACCCCCAGUGACUUAGUUUUUCAUCAGUCUUGUAGUAUACCUAGUACUUUCCUGUUGGAAGAUGUGCACAGUUCAUUUGUGGUUGCUGAAAACCUCCCCCAAACGGUUCUGUGCCCUGGCAGGUGAGUUAAGAACAUUUAUAGAAGUUUUUGAAAGCAUUCUCAAAGUAUAUUGUAAUCCCUAAUGUAUUGCGUUUGUUUUUUUAGCUGCGUUAGUCUUCGGGAUCAUCCGUUUUGCUGAUGGCAAGGAAUUAGACAUAAAUACAACUGUUCAGCAGAGCUUCACCUGCAUCACCUGUAAGGAAUGAUGAAGCCAGAUUACUGAAAUGUGGUGCAAAGACGAGAAGAUCUGGAGUCAGAAGAAAGGAAUGAGAAACUGCGACGAUGGCAUUGUCCAGACUGGUGUGCCAUGCCAUCAGGAUGGUCGAGUGUACCUUCUUAUCGAUGGUCAUUCAGGGUGCAGCAGUAUUGACAUGGAAGGAAAGAAUGGCUACAUUCAUUCUGUCAAGACAGAGUGCCCACAAUCUCAAACACUUCCACCAACCAACCCGCCAUCCUCUGACCCAAAAGCAGGCAUCACCAACAGAGCCAUCAUUUUUGAUAAUGUCAUUGGUGGAGUUACUUUUCUUUGCCUGGUUGGAUGCAACCUACUACUGAAUUAAACAGACCAUCAAUGGACCCAGCAAAGAGUUCCUCCAAACUUUUCGAAGGCAACCCUCUUGUCCUCGGUGGACCCGUGUGUGUUCGACGGCUGAAGGCACACCCCUAGAACCGGCUACAGACCCAGCCCAAACCCGAAUGUCAUUGUCUUCACCUGUGUCUCAUUGAGUGGUUUCUGUUCUUGUUAGUCUCAUCGUGUUCACCUGUGUAUAAAUCCACUUACCUGUGUCUUUUUUGGUUCUGUGUAUU